CCCCCCGUGGACCACCCCCUAUAGCCGGCCCACCCGUGUAGCCUUUUUUUUGGAAAAAGGGACUCCCUGAAGAGGGUUUUUAAAUAUGCACUUGAUAGCUACAGCGUCCCGCUCAAAGUCGGAGGCCGAAGCGGUCGAUUUAACGCCGCACUUUCCCUCUGUUGAUCCUUCCCCGCUGAGUUCAAAAACUCUAAAAGUGCAUGUCUCGCAUUUGAAGAACGCAAGGCACCCUUAAAAAGCCAAGAGGAGAGCCACCCCCCAUCGAGAAGGGAGCGGGACUCAGCCGUGAGUGACCAGCGAUUUGUUGAAAUUUAACAAGCAAGGUCACACAGGGGGAAUCUCUCUCUGUCCCCAUUGUAAGGCUAAAUGCAUCAUUAAAAAGGGCAGUGCCACUCACUGUCAUCUCUUCAAACCACCCUCGUUAGUUAGUGAGAAGAGGAAAUCUCUUGAAGCCGAAAGGGAAAAGCCAAGGGAUUAAACACAGAUACGGAACCAGGAAGAGGAGGUCAAAAAGCGACGGGUAAAAACUCAAAAGUGGGCGAUACGAGAAUAAUCAAACAUCACUCUUGUCCAUCUUUCUGCGGUUAUGGUUGCUGGUGAGACUGAACCAAAACAGUGAAGAAAAAAAGAGAGAAACCGAGAACUGCAGAGUAAUGAGUGAGCGAUAAAGUGAGUUUGUCAUUGUGAGCAACCUUUUCCAUAAAAAUGACUUCUGUCUCACACGACGACGUGUCGGCGUACCUCGAUUCACUCUGUGGUUUUAAGCCAGUGUAGUCAGAAUCAGAACCAAUCGUCAGCGGUCGGGUCGCCUUCCACUACACGCGCGUUUAAACGUGUUUGCACGUUUGACUUUUCGCCGUCUCAGCCCACGUGAGCCAAGACGCCAGUCGGUCCUCCGGCGCAGUAAUGAGCUUCCGAUCCGCUCUUUUGUCCCUCCGCCUCGCUCGUUAUUCCAGAGGGAAGCGUGUUCCCGGGGCGGCUAUUGGAGCGGUCAGAGCAGAUCACGUCUCCGCGGUUGGACUUUAUUAGAACAUCGUCUCACAGAAUAGACACAUAAGUAUAUUCCACAGGAAGGGACGGAUGUAGAAAUGUUAACAUUAGUCAUCUGAGAUAUGAAUUGGUAAUGACAAAUCCCGUGGGUAAAAAGGGAGAUGGAGGACGGCGCGUUCACUUAAAAUAACUGUCAUGGGAAACAUUGAGAAAGAAGAGGGACAGUUGGAGCCAGGAGAGAGGCAACUAUCUAAAACCACCCCCAUUAAACUUGUAUUAUAAUCGUAUUAUUACCACAUGGUGGACAUCUUGGACACUACCAGUCAUUAGACGGAAUGGGGCGGGAGCAUUGUCCAGCAGAACACCCACCCAUUAGAUCCCACCAACGUGUCUCUGCCACCGAGACCCCAAGCGACUGAGCACCGAGAGGGGAGCAUGCAAACACCUGCCAGAGUGACACCACGAUCUUCAACGGCCUCCAACCAGAAAGCUUCUCCUUCGUCUUCCUACCGCCGACAAUAUGGCUGCACGCGCAAGUGAGGGAUCUCCGGGAAGCACCGCGCAAACACGCGCAGUUAUCCUCAUCCUCGACCUUCAUAGAAGAUGGACAGGAAAUAGCUCGGAGGUGACAGGCAGACGGACUGUGGCACUGAUAGCACAUGGAGAUCCAGCUGUGUCGGGGUCACUAUGUUCCUCGUCAUCACGGGGGAAUGUGUUUACGUGAAGGAUGGCGCUAUCCCAAGGACGAUGUGUGAAAACUUCAGUGUGGUGACACGGUGAUCAUUGCCACAUGCGAAAAAGCAAACAAAUAUUUCUCGGCAAUCCGGAAAUUCUACUUCUGCUUGAACGGAUCGAAUGGAUAUAACUGAAGAUUUGCAACUGUGGACACCAGGGGACUUCAAAUUCAAACUGUGAUUCAACCUUCCAUGGAAAACUUCUCUAAAAAGUAAUAAGAAAACAUAACAGUGCAACCAUGGAACUCGCUGAGGACUGGAUGAAGCACUCACAACAAGGACGCUUCGGAGGCUUCUUUGGGACAACUAAAGCCAAAAUAUUCGUAUUCAAUAAGUGCGAAGGACGUUAUAUCCUACAGAUGGUUUAACAAAAAAGUGUCAUAAAGUACAAACAUAUUGUGCAUACACUCGCUGACGCAGAGAGGUGAGGACGAUGAAAGAGAAAAGGAUCACUAUGCAAAUAUGAGAGAUUCGGUUUGAUAGUAAACUGUAGGACAGAUACAAAAAACAGGAUAUGUCAAUGUUAAAUGUAAAGAUGCUACCCUUGUAGCAAUAUGUUUACCUCACUUUACAUGCAUGGCAACCAGCAGAUUUCUCUCUUUCCCCUCACUGUUCUCCUUGAUGAAAAUAAAGUAUUUGCCUCUUCGCGAGUAUCCAUCAAUUGUUUUCACCUCUGUAAAACAAAUACAGUGGUUUAUUGGUUAAUACAUGAUUACGUGUUAGAGAUCGCUCGACAGUUGAAUCCAGAUCUCUACGAAAUUUCUUUCUAUACGUCAGCUUUUAUUUCUAUGUGAGGAAUUCCUCCUCUUGUACAUUUUAAAUCAUGCCUAAAAGUUCCUCAGGUGGACCUUUUUGACUUUUGACUUGUGUGAUAUAACUUCAAUAAAUUGAUAAGAAUGUGA